rnacentral:rRNA from 1 species
GAUGAACGCUGGCGGCGUGCUUAACACAUGCAAGUCGAACGAGAAUCAACGGAUUGAGGAUUCGUCCAAAUGAAGUUGAGGAAAGUGGCGGACGGGUGAGUAACGCGUGAGGAACCUGCCUCGGAGUGGGGAAUAACAGUUGGAAACAGCUGCUAAUACCGCAUAAUGCAACGGAAUCGCAUGACUCUGUUGCCAAAGAUUUAUCGCUCUGAGAUGGCCUCGCGUCUGAUUAGCUAGUUGGCGGGGCAACGGCCCACCAAGGCGACUAUGGGUAGCUGGGUUGAGAGACCGACCAGCCAGAUUGGGACUGAGACACGGCCCAG